rnacentral:rRNA from 1 species
GUGCCAGCAGCCGCGGUAAUACGAAGGUCCCAAGCGUUGUUCGGAAUCACUGGGCGUAAAGGGAGCGUAGGCGGCGUGGUAAGUCAGAUGUGAAAUCCCGGGGCUCAACCCCGGAACUGCAUCCGAUACUGCCAUGCUAGAGGAUUGGAGAGGUAGCUGGAAUUCUUGGUGUAGCAGUGAAAUGCGUAGAGAUCAAGAGGAACACUCGUGGCGAAAGCGAGCUACUGGACAAUAUCUGACGCUGAGGCUCGAAGGCUAGGGUAGCGAAAGGGAUUAGAUACCCCUGUAGUCCUAGCAGUAAACGGUGCACGCUUGGUGUGAGGGGAAUCGACCCCCCUUGUGCCGGAGCAAACGCGUUAAGCGUGCCGCCUGGGAAGUACGGUCGCAAGACUAAAACUCAAAGAAAUUGACGGGGACCCGCACAAGCGGUGGAGUAUGUGGCUUAAUUCGAUGCAACGCGAAGAACCUUACCAAGGCUUGACAUGCAUCUCUAAGCGCGUGAAAGCGCGUGACCCUUCGGGGGGUUUGCACAGGUGCUGCAUGGCCGUCGUCAGCUCGUGUCGUGAGAUGUUGGGUUAAGUCCCGCAACGAGCGCAACCCUUGUGAUUAGUUGCCAGCACGUAAUGGUGGGAACUCUAGUCAGACUGCCCAGAUCAACUGGGAGGAAGGUGGGGACGACGUCAGGUCAGUAUGGCCCUUACGCCUUGUGCUGCACACGUACUACAAUGCCCAGC